rnacentral:rRNA from 1 species
GUAGGUGGCAAGCGUUGUCCGGAAUUAUUGGGCGUAAAGCGCGCGCAGGCGGUCCUUUAAGUCUGAUGUGAAAGCCCACGGCUCAACCGUGGAGGGUCAUUGGAAACUGGGGGACUUGAGUACAGAAGAGGAAAGCGGAAUUCCAAGUGUAGCGGUGAAAUGCGUAGAGAUUUGGAGGAACACCAGUGGCGAAGGCGGCUUUCUGGUCUGUAACUGACGCUGAGGCGCGAAAGCGUGGGGAGCAAACAGGGAUUAGAUACCCUGGUAGUCCACGCUGUAAACGAUGAGUGCUAAGUGUUAGGGGGUUUCCGCCCCCUUAGUGCUGCAGCUAACGCAUUAAGCACUCCGCCUGGGGAGUACGGCCGCAAGGCUG